rnacentral:piRNA from 1 species
UGGAUUAGGUCAGAUACCUCAAG